UACAGAGGGGUUAGCGUUGUUCGGAAUUACUGGGCGGUAAAGACGCACGUAGGCGGCUUUUUAAGUUCAGGGGUGGAAAUACCCCGGGGCCGUCAACCCCCGGAACCUGCCCUUCGAAACUAGGGAAGGCUAGAAUCUUGGGGAGGCGAGUGGAAUUCCGAGUGUAGAGGUGAAAUUCGUAGAUAUUCGGAAGAACACCAGUGGCGAAGGCGACUCGCUGGACAAGUAUUGACGCUGAGGUGCGAAAGCGUGGGGAGCAAACAGGAUUAGAUACCCCUGUAGU
rnacentral:rRNA from 1 species